rnacentral:rRNA from 1 species
ACAUGCAGUCGAGCGGAUCAAUGGGGAGCUUGCUCCCCUGAGAUCAGCGGCGGACGGGUGAGUAACACGUGGGCAACCUGCCUGUAAGACUGGGAUAACUCCGGGAAACCGGGGCUAAUACCGGAUAAUACUGACCACCACAUGGUGGAAAGUUGAAAGAUGGCUUCGGCUAUCACUUACAGAUGGGCCCGCGGCGCAUUAGCUAGUUGGUGAGGUAAGGGCUCACCAAGGCGACGAUGCGUAGCCGACCUGAGAGGGUGAUCGGCCACACUGGGACUGAGACACGGCCCAGACUCCUACGGGAGGCAGCAGUAGGGAAUCUUCGGCGAUGGGCGAAAGCCUGACCGAGCAACGCCGCGUGAGCGAUGAAGGCCUUCGGGUCGUAAAGCUCUGUUGUUAGGGAAGAACAAGUACCGUUCGAACAGGGCGGUACCUUGACGGUACCUAACCAGAAAGCCACGGCUAACUACGUGCCAGCAGCCGCGGUAAUACGUAGGUGGCAAGCGUUGUCCGGGAAUUAUUGGGCGUAAAGCGCGCGCAGGCGGUCUCUUAAGUCUGAUGUGAAAGCCCACGGCU